CGGAUGGAAUGCGUAGAAAAAGUUCCAAUAGCUCUCCGCCGUUCGUUACGAUGACAGCACCCGUCCUCUUCGUCGUCUUCUUCCCGUUGACACUGCUCCUUCUGCCCUACCCAACUGCUCUCUCCCAAAGUUCCUCCGCCGCCUGCCAGCUCGAUUUCUCCGUCAUAAACCGCUUCGUCACCGCCUCCUCCUUCUCGUCCCUCUCCGGCGCUGACGCCCAAACCCGCUGCAAUUUCAUCCUCCAGUCCCUUCACCUAGUCUUCGCCCAAUACCUCCUAACGAAUUCCCUCUUCCAUGCCUCCCUCGCCACCGCUCCAGCUUGUUGGGAUGACUUCGAGGCCGCUCUCUCUCCACUCUUCCCCGCCGCUCCGUUCGACGUCCGCGCCGGCUGCGGCUUCCGCACCGACUGGAUCGCCCAGGGCUGCAUGAAUCUCACCUCGCGAGGGGACUUCGAGGACCGCGUCCCGCGCUCCGCCAUUGCCGAAAUCGGUUCCUACUGCAAUCAAUCCCUCCACUCCUCUCUAGUCUGCGUCGCUUGCACUGCCAGCCUCAACCGCUUCAAGGCCGCGUACCUUCCCGGGCCCGAUUACGGAAACGUCUCCGACUGUAACUCCUACCCCUUCAUAUACUCUGCCGCCGCCAUCAGCGGCGGUCCCUCCAGCGUCGAUAAUGCUUAUUGUUACUUCAACCUCUCCGCUAACUCCACUUCAUCCCCGCCCCACUCUGGAGGCGGACGCGGCGCCGGAUCGUCCAUCUGGAUCUACGUCGUUUGCAUCCUUCUCCUUCUCCUGCUCGUUUUUGCCUCGUUGAUCUGGAUCCGAAGGCGCCGUUCCCUGCGGAGGACGCCGCCAACACCAGCGGAGACUAGGCCCUCUCGGGCGCUAGAGUCGAUCAGCGCGAGCACGACAUUAAUCAAGUUCACCUACGAGGAAAUCCAAUUGGCGACCAGAAAUUUCUCGAGGGAUAACGUCAUCGGCCGCGGCGGCUACGGAAACGUCUUCAAGGGCGUCCUGGCGGACGGGACCAAGGUCGCGCUGAAACGCUUCAAAAACUGCUCCGCCUCAGGGGACACGAGCUUCGCCCAUGAGGUGGAGGUGAUCGCCAGCGUCCGCCACGUGAACCUCCUCGCGCUGAGAGGCUACUGCAUCGCCACCACCCAGAUGGAGGGGCAUCAGAGGAUCAUUGUCUGCGAUUUGAUGCAGAACGGAAGCCUGCAUGACCAUUUGUUUGCUACAGAGGAUCACCGCCGCCGGUUGAGUUGGCCGCUGCGGCAAAAGAUCGCGGUUGGAACGGCACGUGGAUUGGCCUACCUCCACACCGGAGCUCAACCAUUGAUCAUCCACAGGGACAUAAAGGCGAGUAACAUACUUCUGGAUGAGAACUUCGAGCCCAAAGUAGCAGACUUUGGGCUGGCAAAGUUUACGCCGGAGGGGAUGUCCCAUGUCAGCACUAAGGUAGCCGGAACCCUAGGAUACGUUGCUCCUGAAUACGCCUUGUACGGGCAAUUGUCUGAGAAAAGUGAUGUUUUUAGCUUCGGAGUGCUGCUGCUCGAGCUCCUCAGUGGAAAGAAGGCAUUCGGAUCGAGGAGCGAUGGACAGGCUUUUGUUGUGAGCGAUUGGGCGUGGUCUUUGGCGAGAAGAGGCAGGGCAUUGGAUGUUAUCGAAGAAGGGAUGGAUGAAUUGGGGCCGAGAGAAGUGCUGGAGAAGUACGUUCAUGUAGCUGUUCUCUGUACGCAUCAUCAGUUUCAUGCGAGGCCUGCGAUGGAUCAAGUUCUGAAGAUACUGGAGACGGAUUUGGCUAUGCCUGCGACGGACCGAACCUUUCCCAUUCUAUCGCACACUGAGAAUACUGAAACUAGCAGUGAGUCGGGCCUGCUCUCUAGCUCUCCUGGGUACCGGUCAUUUACCUUUGGGAAGGAUGAUACUUCAAAUGAUUCGGGAAUCGUGUCAGAAUCGUUGCCGGGUGUUUCCAAGAUGGACAAAUCACUUUGAAGGGAGCUUGCCUGUUCUACGGUUUCCAUGUGAUUUCUCAGGGCCGAGUUAGUGCUCGCAAGUCUUUCAAGGUUACUUUGGGGAUCAACAAGACACCGGAAAAUACUGGUGAGCCUAGUCCAUAUCGAAAUUGUGGAUUGAUCCAGGCAUUGAAGAGAAGACACAAGGAUGUAAAGCAAAGAAACAAUGAUUCUGCAAGAUGGUCAAUAACUCUGCAAUGGAAUCACACACUACCUUUACUGAACACAUUUCUUCAAGUUUUCUUGUCCAUCAACUACCACCGCACAAUUAAGCCUGAGACCAUCAAGGAAUUUGGGUGAUUCAAGGGGCAAUUGGACGACCAGAUGUUGGAAUAUGUUGAGCUUAUUUUUAAAACACUGAUAUGUUGGUUCAGCAAGUCCGAAGUAUCUUUGCAGGUUUAUAUUGGUUGGCAGGUGCUCCACUCUUGAUGGCCAUUCUUGCUAACCCUUCAAAGCUACCUGGUUUCACUAUCGACAACUCAAGAAGACCAAGAUUUCCCUUUGCCCUCUUCACCUUAUAAACACUCCCUAAACAAGCUUCAAGUGACUGACAACACCUGCUCAGUUGUCCAAUGGAUUUGUCCACAUUCUCCCUUUGCAGAAACAAGCAAUCCUUGUCCAACUCCACAAAGAUGAUAACAUGUCCCUGGUCUAAGUUGGGGUCCAAAUACCCAGCAAACUCCACUAUUUCUCCUCCCUUUCCAUCCCCGAUCAUAAGCCCCAAAGUACUCAUUGCAGAGAUCAAAUCUCUCUCCGUGAAGACCUCUGAAUCUUCUUUUGGUGCUCUUGUGAUGAAUUCCACUCUUGGUGAGGAGUUAUAAAAGCCAACAACCUUGACGACAUCGUUCAAGCGGUAGCGGUAAAGUCCUCUGUAAGUAGUCACCACCACCUCAUACAUUUUUUGUACCUCUACACCAGAUAUGUCUACUGUUUCUUGAACAUUAGGUGAAGCUCCAAGCUCGAAAGGGAGGAACUCAAAGUAAGCCGCUGAGGGAAUGAUCACAAAACUUGUGGUAGCAGGUGGGCAACUUCUAUCCAUGUUGAUGCCAAUAGGGCACUCUGAAGCAAAGUAAUCUCCACCCAACAAUGGCAAAUUAUCACCAGCAUAAUG